UACAGAGGUCUCAAGCGUUGUCCGGAAUCACUGGGCGUAAAGGGUGCGUAGGCGGGGCUUUAAGUCAGGGGUGAAAUCCUGGAGCUCAACUCCAGAACUGCCUUUGAUACUGAAGAUCUUGAGUUCGGGAGAGGUGAGUGGAACUGCGAGUGUAGAGGUGAAAUUCGUAGAUAUUCGCAAGAACACCAGUGGCGAAGGCGGCUCACUGGCCCGAUACUGACGCUGAUGCACGAAAGCGUGGGGAGCAAACAGG
rnacentral:rRNA from 1 species